rnacentral:rRNA from 1 species
CCUACGGGAGGCAGCAGUGAGGAAUAUUGGUCAAUGGGAGGAAUCCUGAACCAGCCAUGCCGCGUGCAGGACGACGGCUCUACGAGUUGUAAACUGCUUUUGUACCGGGGUAAAAUGCUCUACGAGUAGGGUUUUGCAAGUACGGUACGAAUAAGGAUCGGCUAACUCCGUGCCAGCAGCCGCGGUAAUACGGAGGAUCCGAGCGUUAUCCGGAUUCAGUGGGUUUAAAGGGUGCGUAGGUUGUUUUAUAAGGUAGCGGUGAAAUACCGAUGCUCAACAUCGGGGCUGCCGCUGAUACUGUAGGACUAGAGAUCGGAUGCAGCAGGCGGAAUGUGUAGUGUAGCGGUGAAAUGCAUAGAUAUUACACAGAACACCGAUUGCGAAGGCAGCUUGCUAGGCCGGAUCUGACACUGAUGCACGAAAGCGUGGGGAUCGAACAGGAUUAGAUACCCCGGUAGUC